CAGGGCUUCCUCUGCAGGAGACAAAAAACAGCCCAUAGAAUGUCAGAUUCAGAGCACGUGGACUACUGGGCUCCCCCAUGGAGCAAGGAAUAAACAUCCUCCAAAAGGCCUUGAGCACCUGCCACCUUCACCCUUACUGAGCCAAAGUCCCAGUACCCCAUGAAGGGUAUGCAACCCCCCUGCAACUUCUCCAGUGCAGCCCACCGGUGCAAUAUGGGUAGCCUGCAAGCUGCGGUGAUCACCAUCCCGGCCCUGCUCUCCUCAUCCACUCUGCUGGUUGUCAGCUGCAUCGUAUGGAAGACGUACCGCCGGUGGUCGAGGGUCACCUGGCCCAGCCCUCCGUCCCCAUGAGGGGCUCAGAUGCCUAGGAGCCUGCUGGAAGGAAGGAGUAAAAGGAUAGUCCAGCGCGAAGAAGAGGAGGCGAGAACGAUUCCCGGACCGACCAAAGCUCGCGCGUCGCUGCAUCCCCGCGUACAGCGCCUACGUCCCGCCGCCACUGCCACCAUGCCCAAGAGAAAGGCUGAAGGGGAAGCUAAAGGAGAUAAAGCCAAGGCCAAGGACGAGCCACAGAGAAGAUCCGCAAGGUUGUCUGCUAAACCUGCUCCUCCAAAGCCAGAGCCCAAGCCUAAAAAGGCCCCUGCAAAGAAGGGAGAGAAGGUACCCAAAGGGAAAAAGGGAAAAGCUGACGCUGGCAAGGAGGGGAAUAUCCUGAAGAAAACGGAGAUGCCAACACAGACCAGGCACAGAAAGCUGCAGGUGCUGGAGAUGCCAAGUGAAGUGUGUGCAUUUGUGAUAACUGUGUACUUCUGGUGACUGUACAGUUUGAAAUACUAUUUUUUAUCAAGUUUUAUAAAAAUGCAGAAUUUUGUUUUACUUUUUUUUUUUUUAAGCUAUGUUGUUAGCACACAGAACACUUCAUUGUUUGGGGGGAAAGGGGCAUAUGUCACUAAUAGAAUGUCUCCAAAGCUAGAUUGAUGAGGGAAAAUGUUUUUUCCCUCUAGUUUUGAGACUUCCUCUUGGCUCCCAAGAGGAGGGAUUCCCUGAUGUUGACACACAGCUACCUUGGCACAAAUGCCUUGUGGCAUGGAAAAACUAAUUUGUUUUUAUGUCCUAUUCUCCCUCAGUCUUCAGCAUAGUCUUAACUCCCUUAAACCCAGUCACCUCUUGGGACCUGACCCCCAAUAAUUGGUUACCAGUAUAUCAAGGAAUCUGGACUUUUUCAGUAAUACCAUUGAGAUGGCAUCCCUCAAAAGAGCAGCGGUUCCCUUUGUAGAUUGUUGGAUCUUCAGAUAAAUUCUGCCAUUUUCAUUCCAUUUCCUGAAAGUCCGGGUCAGCUUGUGAAAAGUUGUUAAACAACAUGCUAAAUGUGAAAUGUCAACCCUCACUCUAAACUUCCCUGUUCAGAGCAUCAAAUGAAGACUUCAUUGGGUUUUAUAGUGGCUUUCUGAUUUUUGGUAGAACAUUGAAGAAGGGAGUUUGAAAGUUGUUGUAUACUGUUAACGAUCGUCUGCCCAUGUCCUGCCUGAAAUACCAUGAUUGUUUAUGAAAAGUAUCUUUAAUAAAGCUGGAUACAGUUUGGCUUGGAAAAAAAA